GGCUCCAUAGGUGUAGUGGUUAGCAUGUCUGCUUUACAUGCAGAAGGUCCUGGGUUCGCACCCCAGGUGGAGCCA
rnacentral:tRNA from 1 species